rnacentral:rRNA from 1 species
GACGAACGCUGGCGGCGUGCUUAACACAUGCAAGUCGAACGGAAAGGCCCUGCUUUUGUGGGGUGCUCGAGUGGCGAACGGGUGAGUAACACGUGAGUAACCUGCCCUUGACUUUGGGAUAACUUCAGGAAACUGGGGCUAAUACCGGAUAGGAGCUCCUGCUGCAUGGUGGGGGUUGGAAAGUUUCGGCGGUUGGGGAUGGACUCGCGGCUUAUCAGCUUGUUGGUGGGGUAGUGGCUUACCAAGGCUUUGACGGGUAGCCGGCCUGAGAGGGUGACCGGCCACAUUGGGACUGAGAUACGGUCCAGACUCCUACGGGAGGCAGCGGUGGGGAAUAUUGCACAAUGGGCGGAAGCCUGAUGCAGCAACGCCGCGUGCGGGAUGACGGCCUUCGGGUUGUAAACCGCUUUCGCCUGUGACGAAGCGUGAGUGACGGUAAUGGGUAAAGAAGCACCGGCUAACUACGUG